rnacentral:rRNA from 1 species
UACAGAGGGGGCGAGCGUUGUUCGGAAUUACUGGGCGUAAAGCGUGCGCAGGCGGUUGUGCAAGACAGAUGUGAAAUCCCCGGGCUUAACCUGGGAACUGCAUUUGUGACUGCACGGCUAGAGUGUAUCAGAGGGGGGUAGAAUUCCACGUGUAGCAGUGAAAUGCGUAGAUAUGUGGAGGAAUACCGAUGGCGAAGGCAGCCCCCUGGGAUAACACUGACGCUCAUGCACGAAAGCGUGGGGAGCAAACAGG